rnacentral:rRNA from 1 species
AUUGAACGCUGGCGGCAGGCCUAACACAUGCAAGUCGAGCGAGCGGCGGACGGGUGAGUAAUGUAUGGGGACCUGCCUGAUGGCGGGGGAUAACUACUGGAAACGGUAGCUAAUACCGCAUACCAUCAGAUGAACCCAUCUGGGAUUAGCUAGUAGGUAGGGUAACGGCUCACCUAGGCGACGAUCCCUAGCUGGUCUGAGAGGAUGAUCAGCCACACUGGAACGGAGACACGGCCCAGACUCCUACGGGAGGCAGCAGUGGGGAAUAUUGCACAAUGGGCGCAAGCCUGAUGCAGCAAUGCCGCGUGUGUGAAGAAGGCCUUCGGGUUGUAAAACACUUUCGUUAGGGAGGCGUUACCGAAAGAAAAAGCACCGGCUAACUCCGUGCCAGCAGCCGCGGUAAUAC